GAUGAACGCUAGCUACAGGCUUAACACAUGCAAGUCGAGGGACGGGCGCACGGGUGAGUCACACGUAUACAACCUGCCCUUUACUCGGGGAUAACCUUUCGAAAGACAGAUUAAUACCCGAUAUAAAGUAUGGGGAUGCGUUGCAUUAGGGUGGUGGUGAGGUAACGGCUGACCAAGCCAUAGAUGGAUAGGGGUGCUGAGAGCAAGGUCCCUCACAUUGGAACAGAGCCACGAUCCAAACGCCUACGGGAGGUAGCAGGUAGGAAUAUUGGUCAAUGGGCGCUAGCCUGAACCAGCCAAGUAGCGUGAAGGAUGAACGCUUAUGGGUCGUAAACUUCUGUGAUAUAAGAAUAUGUAUUAUAUGAAUAAGGAUCGGCUAACUCCGUGCCAGCCGCCGCGGUAAUUC
rnacentral:rRNA from 1 species